AGCUCCAAUAGCGUAUAUUAAAAUUGUUGCAGUUAAAAAGAUCGUAGUUGGAUUUGUGGCUUGGCAUGUGGGUUCGCUCUUUCAGUUGGCACCAUGUAUGUCUGGCCAUCCUUUGGGAGAGCCCCAGUGGCAUUAAGUUGUUAUUGUGGGGAUCUCAAUCCUUUACUGUGAAAAAAUUAGAGUGUUCAAAGCAGGCUUACGCCGUUGAAUAUAUUAGCAUGGAAUAAUAACAUAGGACUUUUGUACUAUUUUGUUGGUUUGCAAGCAUAAGUAAUGAUUAACAGGGACAGUUGGGGGUAUUUGUAUUCCAUUGUCAGAGGUGAAAUUCUUGGAUUUUUGGAAGACAAACUACUGCGAAAGUAUUUACCAAAGAUGUUUUCA
rnacentral:rRNA from 1 species